UCAACCCUGUGAACAUACCUAUAACGUUGCCUCGGCGGGAACAGACGGCCCCGUAACACGGGCCGCCCCCGCCAGAGGACCCCCUAACUCUGUUUCUAUAAUGUUUCUUCUGAGUAAACAAGCAAAUAAAUUAAAACUUUCAACAACGGAUCUCUUGGCUCUGGCAUCGAUGAAGAACGCAGCGAAAUGCGAUAAGUAAUGUGAAUUGCAGAAUUCAGUGAAUCAUCGAAUCUUUGAACGCACAUUGCGCCCGCCAGUAUUCUGGCGGGCAUGCCUGUUCGAGCGUCAUUACAACCCUCAGGCCCCCGGGCCUGGCGUUGGGGAUCGGCGGAAGCCCCCUGCGGGCACAACGCCGUCCCCCAAAUACAGUGGCGGUCCCGCCGCAGCUUCCAUUGCGUAGUAGCUAACACCUCGCAACUGGAGAGCGGCGCGGCCACGCCGUAAAACACCCAACUUCUGAAUGUUGACCUCGAAUCAGGUAGGAAUACCCGCUGAACUUAAGCAUAU
rnacentral:rRNA from 1 species